UUGAUACCCUCUUCCACCCUCACUAAUAGCCACUUUCAGCGCUAUUAAUUUUUUAGCCACCCAAAAACUAGCCUUACCACUCACAUUCUCCUCCCUCCACAUUUUUUCCACCAAUCUUUUAAAAUCCUCCUCCUUGGGUCAUCUAUUAUCCAACCUAAAUGGAAUCAGUCCAUUGGAUCCUGUUUGACAUAAUGCAAAUGGGGAAGUGAUUCGACACCGUCCUUUGUAAGACUUUUUCGCCUAUACCAGUAAAUUCAUCAAAAAAAAUUGUUAGAUAUUAAAAAGCAAUCAAUACUCGAGCACGUCGGAGGAUCUAUCCCGUUUGUCCAAGUCCACCUUCCCCCCAUCAACGGAAGGUCCAACAACCCCAAAAACUCAAUAGUAUCUCUAAAUUCCUCCGCAAACUUCUUCUAGAAAUUGGUCCCCCGUUCUUUCCCCCCUCCUUAACACCAAAUUAAAGUCCUCCC
rnacentral:lncRNA from 1 species